UACGAAGGGGGCUAGCGUUGCUCGGAAUCACUGGGCGUAAAGCGCACGUAGGCGGACUCUUAAGUCGGUGGUGAAAUCCUGGAGCUCAACUCCAGAACUGCCUUCGAUACUGGGAGUCUCGAGUCCGGGAGAGGUGAGUGGAACUGCGAGUGUAGAGGUGAAAUUCGUAGAUAUUCGCAAGAACACCAGUGGGCGAAGGCGGCUCACUGGCCCGGUACUGACGCUGGAGGU
rnacentral:rRNA from 1 species